rnacentral:miRNA from 1 species
UUGCGGAACAAGUUCUCAGGGC